GAUGAACGCUGGCGGCGUGCUUAACACAUGCAAGUCGAACGGGAAACCUUUUAUUGAAGCUUCGGCAGAUUUAGCUGGUUUCUAGUGGCGGACGGGUGAGUAACGCGUGGGUAACCUGCCUUAUACAGGGGGAUAACAGUCAGAAAUGGCUGCUAAUACCGCAUAAGCGCACAGAGCUGCAUGGCUCAGUGUGAAAAACUCCGGUGGUAUAAGAUGGACCCGCGUUGGAUUAGCUGGUUGGUGGGGUAACGGCCCACCAAGGCGACGAUCCAUAGCCGGCCCGGGGGGGGGAACGGCCAAAUUGGGACUGGGACACGGCCCAGACUCCUGCGGGAGGCAGCAGGGGGGAAAAUUGCAAAAGGGGGGAAACCCUGAUGCAGCGACGCCGGGGGAAGGAAGAAGUAUCUCGGUAUGUAAACUUCUAUCAGCGGGGAAGAAAAUGACGGAACCGGACAAAAAAGCCCCGGCUAACUACGU
rnacentral:rRNA from 1 species